AUAACCGAGGUGGCAAGGGCUGUCGCUGACCUUUCAAAGGUUGUGCACGCCCAAGCACACUCUCACACAUCCAUCUCACCCCUUUUGUGCAUCACCGCGUAGGCCCUCCCUUUGCAAGGAGGGCUUGCGUUUUCACAUAAAAACUUUUGAUACAGUAUAGAAUGUUCCUUUUUAUUUUGCGGUCACACGCAAUCAAUACAACUUUCAACAACGGAUCUCUUGGCUCUCGCAUCGAUGAAGAACGCAGCGAAAUGCGAUACGUAAUGUGAAUUGCAGAAUUCAGUGAAUCAUCGAAUCUUUGAACGCACCUUGCGCCCCUUGGCAUUCCGAGGGGCACACCCGUUUGAGUGUCGUGAAAUCAUCAAAAACCCUUUUUCUUUGAAAAGGAUUUUUGGACUUGGAGGUUCCAUGCUUGCCUUUGAAGGUGAGCUCCUCUCAAAUAAAUUAGUGGGGUCCGCUUUGCUGAUCCUUAAUGUGAUAAGAUGUUUCUACAUUUUGGAUUUAGCACUGUCCCUUGGAUGCCUGCUCCUAACUGUCUUUUGGACAAUGAUGGUGCUCCGGUCAUCGCCAUCUACAUUGGCGA
rnacentral:sRNA from 1 species